rnacentral:rRNA from 1 species
UACGUAGGGGGCAAGCGUUGUUCGGAAUCAUUGGGCGUAAAGAGCGUGUAGGCGGCUUGGUAAGUCCGCUGUGAAAGUCCAGGGCUCAACCCUGGAAUGCCGGUGGAAACUGUCGAGCUAGAGUCCGGAAGAGGCGAGUGGAAUUCCUGGUGUAGCGGUGAAAUGCGCAGAUAUCAGGAGGAACACCAAUGGCGAAGGCAGCUCGCUGGGACGGUACUGACGCUGAGACGCGAAAGCGUGGGGAGCAAACAGG